rnacentral:lncRNA from 1 species
GUUUAUCCCGCUCCUGAGGCUGGGGAGGUACCCCCAGGCGCAGGCACACAGUAUAGUGGGGUCAAGCAUCUAGCUGACCUAAUUAAAAGCUCAUUACACUAGCCCAUCCCCAUUAACAGGCUGACCCACGUGCAAAUCCAUUAACGCAGGAUUCUUCCCUGCUUCCCAAAUCAGGAAUCCCAGCCGCAGCCCCGGGGCCUGGAAACUCCGGCCAGUUUAUUAAAGUGCCUUCCCCGCCUGUGACCAUCAGGCAAAGGGAGAAUCUUGCUGGGAAUCUCGCUUCUAGCCAAUGAGGAAUUUUCAGAAAAGCGAAAUGGAAUGCAUCAUUUUGACAUCUCUGCAGAUCUGUAUUCCGAAAGGUACUCAGAUAUCCACGAAGUCCUCCUCAUCUCACACCAUCGUUUCUCUCACUGGGCACAAUCCAGCUUUAAAGAAUUCAACACUUACUGGUCUUCAGAGGACUGUCAGCAAUGACAGCAACCAGGGAUGCUGACAUGUCUUGUUGUUUACAAAGGAUGAGCACAAGGCCUUUUGGAUAACCUGAUAAGCCCUGCAACUCCUCUCUCCCUGUUCCUCACCUCUCUGGACCAGCUGCCUUUGUGUGGUGGCAAAACUGAGAUUUUGGGAUCCAUGCAGCUCUAUGGAAUAUAUUAUGGGUGAAUUUUGAACCCAGGUCUAUGUGCUUCCAGUUCAACAACCAUGUGUUGAACACUUAAUAUGUGCCCUGCACUAUUGACAAAAUGAAUAUGAUGGGGCCUUGCACAUAAGGAUCACAUACUAUUUGGAGGUCCUAAUAAGGAAGAUUCCCAAAGGCUCUGCAAAGAAAGCUCUAAACACUUUGUCCCUCCGAAUGUGCUCAGCCUUGCCUGUGCCUUCACUGAGCAGUCAGAAUCACACUGCAGCUUCCAGGACAAAGAGAAGUCCAGAUAGAGAGAGGAUCCAUCCUGUUGUCUCUGAAUCGCAUCUCUGUUUGGCUUCCAUGGGCAGAUAUUCUGA